rnacentral:misc_RNA from 1 species
CAGAUUUUAGAAACUCUUGAAGGAGUUCUGGACUUCUUGAUGCGUCAUCUGAAUUCCCAUUUUUCUCAGGUGUGCUUUGCACACUGGAAGAAAGGCUUUGAACCCCAGAAACUUUGGCAACGAAUUUAUCCUCUAAAUCCAUUUUUCAACUGGUGAGCGCAUAAAUCUCUGCAGCCCCACCUGUGGAUAAUGGGAGAGGAAUCUAGGGUUUUAAUGGGGCCAAG